AUUGAACGCUGGCGGCAGGCCUAACACAUGCAAGUCGAACGAGUGGCGGACGGGUGCGUAAUGUCUGGGAAACUGCCUGAUGGAGGGGGAUAACUACUGGAAACGGUAGCUAAUACCGCAUCCCAUCGGAUGUGCCCAGAUGGGAUGAGCUAGGAGGUGGGGUAACGGCUCACCUAGGCGCCGAUCCCUAGCUGGUCUGAGAGGAUGACCAGCCACACUGGAACUGAGACACGGUCCAGACUACGACGGGAGGAAGCAGUGGGGAAUAUUGCACAAUGGGCGCAAGCCUGAUGCAGCCAUGCCGCGUGUAUUAAGAAGGCCUUCGGGUUGUAAAGUACGUUCAGCGGGGAGGCGUUACCCGCAGAAGAAGCACCGGCUAACUCCGUGCCAGCAGCCGCGGUAAUAC
rnacentral:rRNA from 1 species